AUGCAUUGGUACUCUUGGUGGAAACUCUGCUAUCCUAAAGCCGAGGGAAGAAUGGGCUUCAGAGAUUUAUAUUCCUUCAACUUAGCAUUGUUAUCAAAGCAGUGCAGGAGGAUUAUUACAAACCCCGACUUAUUAUGUGCUAGAAUUCUAAAAGUGAAGUACGUCCCUAACAACAGCCUUUUACAAGGAACCCUUAAAAAUGGUUCUUCCUUUACAUGGCAAAGUAUUAUGAAGGGACUAGAAACCUUCAAGUUGGGGUACAUAUGGAGGACUGAUACAGGAGGAAAUGUUCAUAUAUGGAGAGAUCCCUGGAUUCCAUUAAGUCCGGAUAGGAAGGUCAUUACAGCUAGGGGACACACAAUCCUAGCUACAGUUGAUGAACUCACCGAUCCUAAUGCAAACACAUGGGAUGAAGAUCUGAUUAGCUCCAUCUUUAACCCAGUUGAUACAAGGAGAAUACUUCAGAUUCCAUUGAGCUAUGGCGCUUUCGAUGAUUUUAUCGCUUGGCAUCCUGACCGGAAGGGUAUAUUCUCAGUCAGACCAUCAUACCGGGUGCAAUGGACUCAAACUUUUCAGCGCAAUGCAAAUGUGCUGGAGAGGCCGAGCGGGUCCUGUUCUCAGGCGGUGUGGAGUGUAUUGUGGAAGCUGAACAUCCCAUGGAAAAUACAAAUUUUCUACUGGCGUGCGUUACAUGGAACUAUGCCUCUAAAAUCCAUACUCCAUAACCGGCACGUGGGUUCGAUGGGAGCAUGCCCGAUCUGUCAUCAGGGUGUAGAGGAUGUGUGGCAUCUGCUGUUUGAGUGCACUCAUGCAAGGGAUUUAUGGAGUCGGCUGGGUGUUCUGGACAGAGUGGACGAGGCAAGGAGAGUAGACCGGUCUGGAUCGGUCAUUUUGGAACAUAUCCUUCUUGCACCAGAUAGUCCAGCUCUCAUUAAACCGAAUCUGGAUGUUAAACAAAUCAUAGCAGUGGGUGGUUAG
rnacentral:rRNA from 1 species